UACGUAGGGGGCUAGCGUUAUCCGGAAUUACUGGGCGUAAAGGGUGCGUAGGUGGUUUCUUAAGUCAGAGGUGAAAGGCUACGGCUCAACCGUAGUAAGCCUUUGAAACUGGGGAACUUGAGUGCAGGAGAGGAGAGUGGAAUUCCUAGUGUAGCGGUGAAAUGCGUAGAUAUUAGGAGGAACACCAGUGGCGAAAGCGGCUCUCUGGUCUGUAACUGACGCUGAGGUUCGAAAGCGUGGGUAGCAAACAGG
rnacentral:rRNA from 1 species